GAGUUUGAUCCUGGCUCAGGAUGAACGCUGGCGGCGUGCUUAACACAUGCAAGUCGAGCGAAGCACUCUGCUUUGAUUCUUUCGGGAUGAAGAGCAUUGUGACUGAGCGGCGGACGGGUGAGUAACGCGUGGGUAACCUGCCUCAUACAGGGGGAUAACAGUUAGAAAUGGCUGCUAAUACCGCAUAAGACCACAGCACCGCAUGGUGCAGGGGUAAAAACUCCGGUGGUAUGAGAUGGACCCGCGUUGGAUUAGCUUGUUGGUGGGGUAACGGCCCACCAAGGCGACGAUCCAUAGCCGGCCUGAGAGGGUGAACGGCCACAUUAGGACUGAGACACGGCCCAGACUCCUACGGGAGGCAGCAGUGGGGAAUAUUGCACAAUGGGGGAAACCCUGAUGCAGCGACGCCGCGUGGAGGAAGAAGGUUUUCGGAUUGUAAACUCCUGUCGUUAGGGACGAUAAUGACGGUACCUAACAAGAAAGCACCGGCUAACUACGUGCCAGCCGCCGCGGUAAUAC
rnacentral:rRNA from 1 species